UUAGGAAUAUUGGACAAUGGGCGCAAGCCUGAUCCAGCCAUGCCGCGUGAGUGAUGAAGGCCUUCGGGUUGUAAAACUCUUUAGCCGAUGAAUAUAAUGACUGUAGUCGGAAAAUAAGCCCCGGCUAACUUCGUGCCAGCAGCCGCGGUAAUACGAAGGGGGCGAGCGUUAUUCGGAAUCACUGGGCGUAAAGCGUGCGUAGGCUGCUUAGAAAGUUGGGAGUGAAAGCCCAGGGCUCAACCCUGGAAUUGCUCUCAAAACUACUAGGCUCGGAUUCGGGAGAGGAUAGCGGAAUUGUCAGUGUAGCAGUGAAAUGCGUAGAUAUUGACAGGAACACCAGUGGCGCAAGCGGCUAUCUGGACCGACAUCGACGCUGAGGCACGAAAGCGUGGGGAUCAAACAGG
rnacentral:rRNA from 1 species